rnacentral:lncRNA from 1 species
CUCAAACCAGCUAAUAUCUCAUGGAAGUAGCCUCCUUUCCCUUGCUUCUACAGUUUUCUGCAACUCUCCCGUUGCAAUUUCUGGCAAGGUCCCAGUCGUUCAUUCAUGGUACAAAACCCGCUCGCACCCUUCUGAGCUAACAGCUGGCUUCUACAACACAGUUGACAAGGACGGCUAUGAAAGGAUUGCUGAAAUUUUUGCAAAAAAUUCAUGCAAAAUGAUCUUACCGGGAAUGGACCUGUCAGACGAUCACCAGCCGCAGGAGUCCCUCUCUAGCCCUGAAUUAUUACUCGCACAAAUCAAGUCUGCUUGCAGAAAGAGAGGAGUUCAGAUUUCUGGGCAAAACUCGUCUGUUUCAGGAGCACCUGGUGGUUUCGAACAGGUAAAGAAGAAUUUGCUGGGCGAGGAUGGAGUUGUGGACUUGUUCAC